UUAAUGCACUUUAAUUUAUUCCUCAGGAAAUGCGAAGAAGAAGAACAGAAGUCACAGUUGAACUUAGAAAGAACAAACGAGAGGAAACUUUCUUAAAACGAAGAAAUGUACCAACCAUAGACUCUACAACAGAUGAUGAUGAUGUGGACAAGCAGCUCACAGCAGCCAACUUAGCCCUUAUUGUGGAGAACGCAGCCAGUGAAGACCAGAUGGUACAGUUGACGGCAGUGCAGGCGGCCCGCAAGCUGCUCUCGUCAGACAGGAAUCCACCAAUAGAUGACCUUAUCCAGUCUGGCAUUCUUCCUAUACUUGUGAAAUGCUUAGAAGGCACAGACAACCUGUCACUGCAGUUUGAAGCAGCUUGGGCCCUCACCAACAUCGCGUCAGGCACCUCCCGGCAAACGCAAGCAGUGGUUCACGCGGAGCAGUUCCGUUGUUCCUUAAACUCUUACACUCCUCCAGCCAAAACGUUUGUGAACAAGCUGUUUGGGCAUUAGUGUGCCCCUGAGAGCUCCCUGCAGCACAGCGAGUCUCUUCUUGGACGGCUCAGAGGCACAGAAGAUGUAGCCAGACUUGCCGGCCAAACCCGAGGGUGUGUGUUGAUGCUGGGACCAAGAAGAAGAAGAAGAGGAAGAGGAGGAGGAGAAGGAAGAUGAUAAUCGCAACAGGAAGAUCAGAAGAAGAGGAGGAAGAAGAAGAAGAAGAGGAGGAGGAAGAAUGGAAGAAGAGAAGAGAACACACACACACACACACAUAUAUAUGACAAACACCUUUUUCUAUAUUUUUCAUUUUUAUUAGUCCAUAAAACAUACAUUAGCUAUAUACAUAUAAUACAACAUAUGCAUAACUAUAUACAUUAGACCG